rnacentral:ncRNA from 2 species
AGGGGGAAGCCGGUGCGAAUCCGGCACUGACCCGCAGCCGUAAACCGCCGCAAGGCGAAAGUCGGAAUGCCC